rnacentral:lncRNA from 1 species
AGAAACAAAAGAAGAAAGAAACAGAAUAGCCAAAGACGAAACAGAGAAGAAACAGGGGAGAAAGAAGAAAAAAGAAAGAAAAAGGAAAAAUUGAAGGUUUAAGGUUUAAAGCUUUGAUUGGUAAGUCAAAUUAGCCCUUUUCUCUUAAUUCUAAUGUUUUAAAAGCUUUAAAACAAAGUUUUGAUGGAAUUAAGUUGAUAUUUUGUAAGUUCAUAGGUUUUCAAGUAUAGUUUAUGUUGAACAAAAGAGAUGAAUUAGGGAUUAACUUGAAGGAAUUUUAAGUUAGAAUUGAAAAAGGGAUUAAAUUGUAAAAGAAACUAUAAGUUUUAUGUUUUAGGGACUAAAUUGAGGGAAAUUCGAAAUUAGUAAAAUAUGCUGAAAUUUUGAUAGUUAAAUUUUAGUUUGGAUGAAAUUUGAAUAGAAAUAGAGCGUGAAUUGAAUUAGGAAAGUAAGUGAAUUUAGUUAGGAUUAAAUUGAGAAUUAGGAAGAAAUUGAAUAGAAAUUCAAUUAUUUAUUAUAAUUAGUGCUGUAAUUAAUAUUACAAAUUAUUAUUUUCGUAGCUAACAAAGAACCCGAGGCAUCGGCGUCAAAAGGAAAGGAGAAAGUUAUUGAGGACUAAAACAGGAGAAUAACGGUUUGUAUUACUAUAAUUCAAGUUAUUUAUUAUUAAAUGCUAAAUUUUAAUUUAUGUGUCUAGUAAAUGAAAUGUGAGGUAAGUAUAAUAUUAGUAUUAAUUUAUUAUUAGUAUUAUUAUUAUUAUUAUGAGUGGGAAUUAAAUUGAAUAGUUUAUAUGAAUUAAUAUUUGAAUUGUUUGUUGAUUGAAAGCGGGAAAUGAAUUUGAAUCGAAUUGUGAAUGGUAUUAAAUUGUAUGGAAAUGUAUUGAGUUGUGAAAAUGUGUGAAUUUGUGAAAUAAUUAUUGAUUGAAUGUGGAAAAAUGAUUGAAUUGAAAGUGUGAGAAAUUGUGAUUGAAUUGAGAAUAUAUGUGAUUUAAAUACCCUAUUAACUAGUCGGGCUGAGUCGGAUAUAGUUGGCAUGCCAUAGGAUUGGAAGAGUUCAGGGAUACUUCGACCUCGAGUCGAUGAGACACUGGGUGUCACUAUAUUUCUUCGGAUAGAUUCGAUGAGGUACUGGGUACCAACUUUCUUCGGCUUUGCCGAUGAGACACUGGGUGUCAACUAUUGCUUCAAACUAUCCGAUGAGGCACUGGGUGCCAUUCUGGUGUGUUUGGUUGGAUCCGUGUAUCCGCCAAAGUCCAAGUUUUGUUAAUAGGGUAAAUGAUGAAAUGAUAAACCGAACGAGUUGGUCAAACGAGCUAUUGAAAUGAUAUGAAAAAGUUGAAUUGUGAAUUGAAAUGUGAAAUGAGAUUGAGAAAUGAACCUAAGGUUCGUGAUUUAUUCAAACUCAAAUUGUGGAUAUACGAUAUUGGUUGAUGAAUUGCUAUUGUUGAAAUAUUGAAUUUAAAUUGUAUAUACGAUUUAUGCAUUACAUGUACAUUAUUGUUAUAAUUUGAAUUAUGGUAAUACCACUGAGUAUGAAUUACUCAGCGUACGGUUGUUUCCUUGCGCAGGUCGAUAGAAGUCAAAGGUCCCGGUUCAGCAUCCAGAUUAAUCCCGGCUUUGGCAAAACUUGGUGAUGUAUUUUUCCUUUGGUAAAGGUGGCAUGUACAUAGAUUGUAUAUAAAGGUUAUUAUGUUUUAAUAUAUAAUGGUUAAAAAUGUUAGUAUUAAAAGUUUAUGGAUUAUAAUGAAAGAAGUCUAUCUAUUUUAUCUAAUUA